AAUAGAUACCCGGGUAGUCCACGCCGUAAACGAUGAGUGCUAAGUGUUAGAGGGUUUCCGCCCUUUAGUGCUGCAGCUAACGCAUUAAGCACUCCGCCUGGGGAGUACGGCCGCAAGGCUGAAACUCAAAGGAAUUGACGGGAGCCCGCACAAGCGGUGGAGCAUGUGGUUUAAUUCGAAGCAACGCGAAGAACCUUACCAGGUCUUGACAUCCUCUGCCAACCCUAGAGAUAGGGCGUUCCCCUUCGGGGGACAGAGUGACAGGUGGUGCAUGGUUGUCGUCAGCUCGUGUCGUGAGAUGUUGGGUUAAGUCCCGCAACGAGCGCAACCCUUGAUCUUAGUUGCCAGCAUCUAGUUGGGCACUCUAAGGUGACUGCCGGUGACAAACCGGAGGAAGGUGGGGAUGACGUCAAAUCAUCAUGCCCCUUAUGACCUGGGCUACACACGUGCUACAAUGGAUGGUACAAAGAGCUGCGAACCCGCGAGGGUAAGCCAAUCUCAUAAAGCCAUUCUCGAGUUCGGAUUGGU
rnacentral:rRNA from 1 species